GUAUUUAUUUAUGACAUAAAAUAAAAUUGGAACGAUACAGAGAAUAUUAGCUUGACCCCUGUGUACUUUAUUUGUUUACAUUUUUUUCAUAGUUUU
rnacentral:snRNA from 2 species